rnacentral:rRNA from 1 species
UUGACCUCGGAUCAGGUAGGAAUACCCGCUGAACUUAAGCAUAUCAAUAAGCGGAGGAAAAGAAACCAACAGGGAUUGCCUCAGUAACGGCGAGUGAAGCGGCAACAGCUCAAAUUUGAAAUCUGGCCGCAAGGUCCGAGUUGUAAUUUGUAGAGGAUGCUUUUGGCGAGGUGCCUUCCGAGUUCCCUGGAACGGGACGCCAUAGAGGGUGAGAGCCCCGUACGGUUGGACCACCGAGCCUCUGUAAAGCUCCUUCGACGAGUCGAGUAGUUUGGGAAUGCUGCUCUAAAUGGGAGGUGUACGUCUUCUAAAGCUAAAUACCGGCCAGAGACCGAUAGCGCACAAGUAGAGUGAUCGAAAGAUGAAAAGCACUUUGAAAAGAGGGUUAAAAAGUACGUGAAAUUGUUGAAAGGGAAGCAUUCAUGACCAGACUUGGGCUUGGUUGAACAUCCGGCGUUCUCGCCGGUGCACUCUGCCAGUCCAGGCCAGCAUCAGUUUGCCCCGGGGGAUAAAGGCGGUGGGAAUGUGGCUCCCUUCGGGGAGUGUUAUAGCCCGCCGUGUAAUGCCC